rnacentral:rRNA from 1 species
ACGGAAGGCAGCAGUGGGGAAUAUUGCACAAUGGGGGAAACCCUGAUGCAGCGACGCCGCGUGAGUGAAGAAGUAUUUCGGUAUGUAAAGCUCUAUCAGCAGGGAAGAUAAUGACGGUACCUGACUAAGAAGCACCGGCUAAAUACGUGCCAGCAGCCGCGGUAAUACGUAUGGUGCAAGCGUUAUCCGGAUUUACUGGGUGUAAAGGGAGCGUAGACGGCAUGGCAAGUCUGAAGUGAAAGCCUGGGGCUCAACCCCGGAACUGCUUUGGAAACUGUUGAACUAGAGUGCAGGAGGGGUAAGCGGAAUUCCCAGUGUAGCGGUGAAAUGCGUAGAUAUUAGGAGGAACACCAGUGGCGAAGGCGGCUUGCUGGACGACAACUGACGCUGAGGCGCGAAAGCGUGGGGAGCAAACAGGAUUAGAUACCCUGGUA